ensembl:lncRNA
CUCUCUCAGACAGUGAAGUCUGCUCUGUGAGGAGUUCUGCACUGUUCAGUUUUCACCUUCAUCAUGGCUGGACGCCUGCUGUUCCUCAUCCUCAUGUAUUCUUUUCAUGAGAUUGAAGCACAAGGUCUUCCUCCACCUAAACUAACAGUGUAUCCAACAGAGAUCAGAGUCACAGACUCAGUCACAUUACGCUGUGAGGCUCCAUCAUCUGUUUCUGUGUCUCAGUGUUAUUUCUACACUGUGACUGGAAAAGAUCAGAAACCUUUGUCCUGUCUGAAGACACUGACAGGAGCUGAGCUGCUGGAAAUGUCACGUCAGAGUUCACCUGCUCAGGUUGAAGUCACAUGUUUUUAUGUUGGAAAAUGGAAUUAUGCGUCUCAAGUCAGUGACAAGACCUCCAUCACUGUACUGAGUGAGUGACUGAUUUAUGUGUUUGUUAUCAUACUGUACAAGAAAACAUUACAAUACCACUGCUGCCAUCAUUCUGGUAAUCAGAAGUUUUUAUUAGUUUUGUUGGUUGACUGAACUUUAUUCAAGUUAUUAUAAUACAAACAGUCUUUAAUCUGCUAUAAUUUAUGUACAGCUGCUUUUUGUCACUGAUACAAUUUAACAUGAAAUAUUUUAAUUAUAUUCUGCUGUACAUCACAGUGUCUCAUUAGAUAUUUCACCCUGAGUCUACUAUAUAUAAUAUGACUUGCUCUGAUUUUUCAGGUCUUCCUCCACCUAAACUAACAGUGUAUCCAGCAGAGAUCACAGUCACAGACUCAGUCAGAUUACGCUGUGAGGCUCCAUCAUCUGUUUCUGUGUCUCAGUGUUAUUUCUACACUGGAAAAACUCAGAAACAUUUGUCCUGUCAGGAGACACUGACAGGAGCUGAGCUGCUGUUCAUGUCACAUCAGAGUUCACCUGCUCAGGUUGAAGUCAGUUGUUAUUAUGAUGGAAAUGGGAAUCAUGCGUCUCCAUACAGUGACAAAACCUCCAUCACUGUACUGAGUCCAAAACCAGAGAUGAGUGUUCAUCGUGAUGAUGAAAAUGUUCUCUUCACUUGCUCUCUGCCUGGAUCUGUCAAUCAAAACACAAAAUGUAACCUGUACUUUGGAGAAGAAAGUCGUCCAGCAAUAACAACAAACGCCUGGAAACAAAGGAGCUCAAAAAACAAACAGUUCUGCCAGUUUACUGUCCCAGUAGAAGAUUUACUGAGACGUCUACGUUUAGUUCAACAAAAAGAUGCCAGCUGUGACUACAGUGUGGAGCGUGAACCAAAGUCUUUGUCUCCUCGCAGUGAUGGAAAAAACCUGACAUACUUCAUAGAAAAAGAAUCACAUGUGACCAGAACAGAGUCAACAUUUACAGGUAGGUCAUUUUAUAAACAGUGA